AUUUUAAUGUUAAAAAAAAAAAAAUCAAAUGGCCCCAUUUAACCUAUCCUCUUUCUUCUCCAAAUAGUCACACACAAGUCCCAGCGCCACUUCCCAUGGUAGUAAAAUGCUGUGUGAUUUCAAUAUGUGCUGUGUUGAUAACAAUGGGCUUUUGCUUAGUGGUAUUAAAGUGGUUUUUAGACCUGUGAGAUCUCAAAUUCCUUACUUAACUUUGCUUCCCCAAUUCAAUCUGUGAUCCUCCAUUAAAUUAUUUCAAUAACAAAUAUACUUCACUAUUCAAUAAUGAAGCAGAAGAAAUUGAAGAAUUUGGUACUACUAAACACUAUUCAUAUGACCUCAAAGACCCUCCUCCUCUGCAGAAUUUUGCCAUGCUCUAUUUGUUUUCCCCAAACUUUUAAUCCUGCAUUUCAUUGCAAAAUUAAUUCUCAUAUUAAGCAAUGAUUCCCAUUGAUAAAUUCUCAAUUUAAUAUCAAAUAACACUUCCUGGCCUUAAUCUCACUACCAUGGUAAGUUCAAUAAUAAUAUUACAAUCUCAAUUCAAUAUUAAGAAAUGACAUAUCAUCCUGACAAACCAAUUCCCUUCUUCAAAAUCCCCAAGUUAAGAUUCCUUUUUAUGCUUUUAUACUUUCUCAAAAUUAAAUUCAUGAUUUUUUUUUCUCAAUUUCUUUUCAUAACUUACUACCUUAAUUCACUUCCAACAACCAUUCAGCUUUAAUUUACCAUUGCUCAUAUAACCAUCCUCUUCCCAAGCUGCAUUCUAAAAUCACAUCUUAAAAAAAAAAUACAAAGCUUCAACUUUCACUCAGUCUAGUCUUAUAUACAAGUUUAUCAUCUACUGCUUAUAUACAAUUAUCUAUUUCUUAAGCUUCAUUCUUUAUUCCCUCUGACUGAACAUGCCAAGCAUAAAAUUUGUACAGUUUUAACCAACAUUUUUUUAACUAAUACCUAAAACUAAUACUAAUCCCACCAAUACUUGCAUGUUGUAUAAGAGCCCAAAAUCAUACUUGCAAUUCAUUAAUGAGAAGGGUCAACUUUAAUAGAAAUCACUUAC
rnacentral:misc_RNA from 1 species